UAGGGAAUCUUCCGCAAUGGACGAAAGUCUGACCGAGCAACGCCGCGUGAGUGAAGAAGGUUUUCGGAUCGUAAAGCUCUGUUGUUAAGGAAGAACGAGUGUGAGAAUGGAAAGUUCAUGCUGUGACGGUACUUAACCAGAAAGGGACGGCUAACUACGUGCCAGCAGCCGCGGUAAUACGUAGGUCCCGAGCGUUGUCCGGAUUUAUUGGGCGUAAAGCGAGCGCAGGCGGUUAGAAAAGUCUGAAGUGAAAGGCAGUGGCUCAACCAUUGUAGGCUUUGGAAACUGUUUAACUUGAGUGCAGAAGGGGAGAGUGGAAUUCCAUGUGUAGCGGUGAAAUGCGUAGAUAUAUGGAGGAACACCGGUGGCGAAAGCGGCUCUCUGGUCUGUAACUGACGCUGAGGCUCGAAAGCGUGGGGAGCGAACAGG
rnacentral:rRNA from 1 species